AUGCGGGCGGCGGCCUGGACGCGGGCCCGGGCGGCGGGAGCGCGGGGCGGCGGGGCUCGGGCGGGCGGGCGGGCGGCGGCUCCCGGCUGGCGGCGGCGGCGGCGGCGGCGGCGGCGGCGGCGGGUCCCGGCCUCGGCUCUGCGCGCCCGCGCUCCCGGCGCCCGCAGCCAACAAGUUCGGGGCGAGACUGACAGCUCGCUCGCCCAUUCGUCACCCGCGCACCUGCAUAUGCAUGAGGGGGCGGGGCCGCGCCGCGGGGUGGGGCCGGGCCGGGGGCGCUCGGCUUUAAAGGCGGCGGAGGGCGCUGCUGCCCGCGCCCGCACUCGGCGCGCGCCUCGCGGGGCCCCGGGCGGCGCGAACGUCGCGCCUCCGCCGGCGUGCGGGGUCCCUCGGCCGGGCCGCGCCGGGAGCCGGGAGCCGGGAGCCGGGAGCCGGGAGCCGGGAGCCGGGGGUGGGGCGCCCCUGAGGUCACCGCCGAGCUCCCCUCCCAUCGGGGCGCCGCCGUCCCGGGGGAGAAGCCGCGGGCGGCCCGGAUCCGGCCCCGCGCGCGCGGCCUGGGACCCCCCGUGGGGCGCCCCUCCGCGCGGCCGCAGGGGGCGCUGCUCGCCCGCGCCCCUGCCCUCCCGCCCCGCGCCCCGCGCCCCGCGCCCCUGCCCUCGCGCCUGGCUCGGGCCGGCGACAGAUGCCCGGCGGCGUGGCGGGGCGCGCGGGGCCGCUGGAGACGGGGCUCGGGCGCGCAGCGGGCACGGCCCGGGAAUAAAGGCGGAGGCGCGCGCUCAGGACGAGGUGAGAGCUGCGCACAGGCUCCUCCUGCUGUCCUGGUCACCAGGUCCCCGCGGCCCGCCCUCCGGCAUCGCGUGCUGCCCUCUGCCGGGUAACCUCGCCGCCCCCCCACCCAGGGUCAAGCCCCAGGGCUCCUUGUCUGCAAGCACAGCUCCCCUCCGGCCUGCAGGGUCCCCUCUUGGGGGGCGGGCGGGCGCCCUGGCGGCUGGGGCCCCCUCCGCCACCGUAACCCGGCCGUCUUCUCUGCCCUGGCUGCCCGCAAGGCUGUCGUGA
rnacentral:lncRNA from 1 species